CGAACGCUGGCGGCGUGCUUAACACAUGCAAGUCUACGAGAAAGUGUCUUUCGGGAUGCGAGUAAAGUGGCGCACGGGUGAGUAACACGUAAGCAAUCUACCCUUAGGCCUGGGAUAACCCCGAGAAAUCGGGGCUAAUACCGGAUGAUGCAGCGGCACCACAUGGUGAUGUUGUUAAAGUCUAUAUGGCGUCUAGGGAUGAGCUUGCGUCUGAUUAGCUUGUUGGUGAGGUAACGGCUUACCAAGGCUGCGAUCAGUAGCUGGUCUGAGAGGAUGAUCAGCCACACUGGAACUGAGACACGGUCCAGACUCCUACGGGAGGCAGCAGUGAGGAAUAUUGGGCAAUGGGCGAAAGCCUGACCCAGCAACGCCGCGUGGAGGAUGAAUGUCGUAAGAUUGUAAACUCCUGUUAGAGGGGAAGAAUAAUUCCGAUCGAAUCGGAACUUGACUGUACCCUCAGAGAAAGCUCCGGCUAACUAC
rnacentral:rRNA from 1 species